GCAGGUGAGAGAGAUUUGUCCUGACCGUGGGCCAGGCAGGACUGGAGAAAACUCCAGCUAUAGAGUUGAUGCUGUAGUGACACACAGCUGCCCGACUCACGGAUGCUUCUCAUGGCGUUACUUUGACUGUUCACUAAGUGCCCUCUCUCCCGUCACUUCCUCGCUUGCGCCAUUUAUUCGUUAGGCCAGUAUUUAGUGAGCAUUUUAGUAUUAAUUAGCUCAAGAUUUAGUGGUCAACAAGACUGACAAGCUUGCUGAAUGAGGCAAGGCAAACAGUAUAGAGUAAAUUGAUGAUAACUCGGGAAGCCGGGGGAGAUACGCAUUACAAAAACUCCAAGAAGGGAGGCCUAGCAGAACCUCCUGGGGUUGCUGACCAGCUCUUCAGGGCAGUUGCCCGGCCUGUCUCUUGCUUCCCUUCUUCUCUUCAGAGGGGACUGCCGUGGUCCUUUCACCUGGUCUUGCUUUCAUUCAUCUUUCAUUUUCAUUCAGGAGAGUUUGUGCUAUUUUCUAUUACUGCUGCCUAAAUGAAAGUCCUCUGCAUAGACCAGUCAGAUGGGGCACUUGAGGGUUUUGUUUGUUUGGAGGCUGGUGGUUUUGUUUUUGUUGUUGUAGUUUGUUGUUUUUGUUUUUUUUUUUUUUUGAAAUGGGGUCUUACUCCGUAGCCCUGAAACUCAUGGUCGUCCUCUCGUGUCACCCCGAGUGCUGAGAUUACAGGUGUGAGCCACCGUGUCCAGCAGGAAUAAUGUUAUAUGCCUUUGUGCCUUGACUCAGAAUAGGUGCUCACAAGAAGAGUGGCACCCAGCUGCCCAUCCCAGGAAACCACAGUAGUAAAACACUGAGAACCAAGCUCCUCUCCCAGCUGGCAUGAAUAAAUACCAGGUGUAUUGGCACCGAGUUUUGCAGCUCCACAUCCAUCAAGAUGAGACCUUCUGUCCCCUCCUUUUGGCAAGAUACAAUUUCAAAUGAAUGGGAAAAGGAAAUGCAAAGACCUUUGCCACCACCUCUGAAUCAAAUUCAUUUUUUUUCCCAUCUCCUGAGAACAGUUUCUUCUCAUCUACAUAUUUAUUGCAUAAAUCUUUUCCAACUUCAUCCUUGACCUGCACACUUCCUAAACAUCAUUCUACAAUGUCUCUGGAAUUUGUGAGGGUGCUUGCAACGAACACAAAGAAGGAAUGCUCAGAAGGCAUGGCCUCGUGUUUAUUGAGCUCCUACUCAGUGCUGGGCUUGGCAUUUCCACUUAGGUUAGCUGACUCCAUCUACAGCACCCUCCAAGGUAGGUUUCGUUACCCCUACUUUCUUCAAGGUCACAAAGACUUAGUAAAUGACAGAACCGAGAUCCCCAAACAAACGCAAGAAGUUGGUGAUUAUCCAAAGUGACUUGUCCAUACUGGUAGCUGAAUGGAAGUAUCGUAUUUCACCUCUUUCUAUCAACUCAAAAAUGGUUUCCUGUACAAAGUGGGUUUUAAGUUGAGCACGGAAAGGACAGUUCGGAAGUGAUGUUGAGAGAACAGUGCCAAAUGAAGACACUGUAUUGGCCAUCAGCCUAAAAUCAAUCAAUAAGAAAGAGUUUUGUGUUACUCAGAGAUGAGUCAUGUUCUGUUCUUCAAGUACCUUCCCUGUCUCAGCUGCUCCAAAGUGGGAAAGUCAACGGGAUGGCACUGGCUGGGAGAGUGUGAGCAGGGGUGAGUAGGGAUUGAAUUCCGCCAGUUCCCCACAUGGCUAGUGAACCAGCACAUCCAGCCGUGGCUUUGGAAGCAGCUAGAACUAGGGCAGACUACUGCACAUUUUCGUGACUGAUAUGUGCACAGCAGUAUCCUGGGUUGUUUUUCUCUAAGUCAAUUGUUGAACAGUUUUUAAAGAAUUUAUUCAGUGCUCACUAUAUUUUGUAAGGAAUUAUACUUCUGCUAUCUUUAGCGCUUUUUGUGGGGAUUUAAAAUUCAAUAAAAUACACUCA